GACGAACGCUGGCGGCGUGCUUAACACAUGCAAGUCGAACGGAAAGGCCCUGCUUUUGUGGGGUGCUCGAGUGGCGAACGGGUGAGUAGCACGUGAGUAACCUGCCCUUGACUUUGGGAUAACUUCAGGAAACUGGGGCUAAUACCGGAUAGGAGCUCCUGCUGCAUGGUGGGGGUUGGAAAGUUUCGGCGGUUGGGGAUGGACUCGCGGCUUAUCAGCUUGUUGGUGGGGUAGUGGCGUACCAAGGCUUUGACGGGUAGCCGGCCUGAGAGGGUGACCGGCCACAUUGGGACUGCGAGACGGCCCAGACUCCUACGGGAGGCAGCAGUGGGGAAUAUUGCACAAUGGGCGGAAGCCUGAUGCAGCAACGCCGCGUGCGGGAUGACGGCCUUCGGGUUGUAAACCGCUUUCGCCUGUGACGAAGCGUGAGUGACGGUAAUGGGUAAAGAAGCACCGGCUAACUACGUG
rnacentral:rRNA from 1 species